rnacentral:rRNA from 1 species
UGGGGAAUCUUGGACAAUGGGGGCAACCCUGAUCCAGCGACGCCGCGUGGGUGAUGAAGGCCUUGGGGUUAAUAGCCUCGAGGAAGGACAUCACCCACAGAAGAAGCACCGGCUAACUCCGUGCCAGCAGCCGCGGUAAUACGGAGGGUGCGAGCGUUAAUCGGAAUUACUGGGCGUAAAGCGCGCGUAGGUGGCUUGAUAAGCCGGUUGUGAAAGCCCCGGGCUCAACCUGGGAACGGCAUCCGGAACUGUCGGGCUAGAGUGCAGGAGAGGAAGGUAGAAUUCCCGGUGUAGCGGUGAAAUGCGUAGAGAUCGGGAGGAAUACCAGUGGCGAAGGCGGCCUUCUGGACUGACACUGACACUGAGGUGCGAAAGCGUGGGUAGCAAACAGGAUUAGAUACCCCUGUAGUCC